CUCCUACGGGAGGCAGCAGUGGGGAAUAUUGCACAAUGGGGGAAACCCUGAUGCAGCGACGCCGCGUGGAGGAAGAAGGUCUUCGGAUUGUAAACUCCUGUUGUUGAGGAAGAUAAUGACGGUACUCAACAAGGAAGUGACGGCUAACUACGUGCCAGCAGCCGCGGUAAAACGUAGGUCACAAGCGUUGUCCGGAAUUACUGGGUGUAAAGGGAGCGCAGGCGGGAAGACAAGUUGGAAGUGAAAUCCAUGGGCUCAACCCAUGAACUGCUUUCAAAACUGUUUUUCUUGAGUAGUGCAGAGGUAGGCGGAAUUCCCGGUGUAGCGGUGGAAUGCGUAGAUAUCGGGAGGAACACCAGUGGCGAAGGCGGCCUACUGGGCACCAACUGACGCUGAGGCUCGAAAGUGUGGGUAGCAAACAGGAUUAGAUACCCUGGUAGUCCACACCGUAAACGAUGAUUACUAGGUGUUGGAGGAUUGACCCCUUCAGUGCCGCAGUUAACACAAUAAGUAAUCCACCUGGGGAGUACGACCGCAAGGUUGAAACUCAAAGGAAUUGACGGGGGCCCGCACAAGCAGUGGAGUAUGUGGUCUAAUUCGACGCAACGCGAAGAACCUUACCAAGUCUUGACAUCCUGCGACGGUUCUGGAAACAGAACUUUCCUUCGGGACGCAGAGACAGGUGGUGCAUGGUUGUCGUCAGCUCGUGUCGUGAGAUGUUGGGUUAAGUCCCGCAACGAGCGCAACCCUUAUGGUCAGUUACUACGCAAGAGGACUUUGGCCAGACUGCCGUUGACAAAACGGAGGAAGGUGGGGAUGACGUCAAAUCAUCAUGCCCUUUAUGACUUGGGCUACACACGUACUACAAUGGCGUUAAACAAAGAGAAGCAAGACCGCGAGGUGGAGCAAAACUCAGAAACAACGUCCCAGUUCGGACUGCAGGCUGCAACUCGCCUGCACGAAGUCGGAAUUGCUAGUAAUCGUGGAUCAGCAUGCCACGGUGAAUACGUUCCCGGGCCUUGUACACACCGC
rnacentral:rRNA from 1 species